rnacentral:rRNA from 1 species
UACGUAGGGUGCGAGCGUUAAUCGGAAUUACUGGGCGUAAAGCGUGCGCAGGCGGUUCGUUGUGUCGGCGGUGAAAGCCCCGGGCUCAACCUGGGAAUGGCCGUUGAAACUGGCGAACUGGAGUGCGGCAGAGGGGGGUGGAAUUCCGCGUGUAGCAGUGAAAUGCGUAGAGAUGCGGAGGAACACCGAUGGCGAAGGCAGCCCCCUGGGCUGACACUGACGCUCAGGCACGAAAGCGUGGGGAGCAAACAGG